rnacentral:rRNA from 1 species
GACGAACGCUGGCGGCGUGCUUAACACAUGCAAGUCGAACGGAAAGGCCCUGCUUUUGUGGGGUGCUCGAGUGGCGAACGGGUGAGUAACACGUGAGUAACCUGCCCUUGACUUUGGGAUAACUUCAGGAAACUGGGGCUAAUACCGGAUAGGAGCUCCUGCUGCAUGGUGGGGGUUGGAAAUUUUCGGCGGUUGGGGAUGGACUCUCGGCUUAUCAGCUUGUUGGUGGGGUAGUGGCUUACCAAGGCUUUGACGGGUAGCCGGCCUGAGAGGGUGACCGGCCACAUUGGGACUGAGAUACGGCCCAGACUCCUACGGGAGGCAGCAGUGGGGAAUAUUGCACAAUGGGCGGAAGCCUGAUGCAGCAACGCCGCGUGCGGGAUGACGGCCUUCGGGUUGUAAACCGCUUUCGCCUGUGACGAAGCGUGAGUGACGGUAAUGGGUAAAGAAGCACCGGCUAACUACGUG